rnacentral:rRNA from 1 species
CUCAGAUUGAACGCUGGCGGCAGGCCUAACACAUGCAAGUCGAGCGGAUGACGGGAGCUUGCUCCUUGAUUCAGCGGCGGACGGGUGAGUAAUGCCUAGGAAUCUGCCUGGUAGUGGGGGACAACGUUUCGAAAGGAACGCUAAUACCGCAUACGUCCUACGGGAGAAAGCAGGGGACCUUCGGGCCUUGCGCUAUCAGAUGAGCCUAGGUCGGAUUAGCUAGUUGGUGGGGUAAUGGCUCACCAAGGCGACGAUCCGUAACUGGUCUGAGAGGAUGAUCAGUCACACUGGAACUGAGACACGGUCCAGACUCCUACGGGAGGCAGCAGUGGGGAAUAUUGGACAAUGGGCGAAAGCCUGAUCCAGCCAUGCCGCGUGUGUGAAGAAGGUCUUCGGAUUGUAAAGCACUUUAAGUUGGGAGGAAGGGCAGUAAGYUAAUACCUUGCUGUUUUGACGUUACCGACAGAAUAAGCACCGGCUAACUCUGUGCCAGCAGCCGCGGUAAUACAGAGGGUGCAAGCGUUAAUCGGAAUUACUGGGCGUAAAGCGCGCGUAGGUGGUUUGUUAAGUUGGAUGUGAAAGCCCCGGGCUCAACCUGGGAACUGCAUCCAAAACUGGCAAGCUAGAGUACGGUAGAGGGUGGUGGAAUUUCCUGUGUAGCGGUGAAAUGCGUAGAUAUAGGAAGGAACACCAGUGGCGAAGGCGACCACCUGGACUGAUACU